rnacentral:rRNA from 1 species
UAGUCCACGCCGUAAACGAUGUCUAUUAGGAGCUUGUGGCCUUGAGCCGUGGGUUCCAAAGCUAACGCAUUAAAUAGACCGCCUGGGGAGUACGGCCGCAAGGUUAAAACUCAAAUGAAUUGACGGGGGCCCGCACAAGCGGUGGAGCAUGUGGUUUAAUUCGAUGCAACGCGAAGAACCUUACCUACUCUUGACAUCCAGAGAAUUCGCUAGAGAUAGCUUAGUGCCUUCGGGAACUCUGAGACAGGUGCUGCAUGGCUGUCGUCAGCUCGUGUUGUGAAAUGUUGGGUUAAGUCCCGCAACGAGCGCAACCCUUGUCCUAUGUUGCCAGCACGUAAUGGUGGGAACUCAUGGGAGACUGCCGGUGAUAAACCGGAGGAAGGUGGGGACGACGUCAAGUCAUCAUGGCCCUUACGAGUAGGGCUACACACGUGCUACAAUGGUCGGUACAAAGGGUUGCCAACUCGCGAGAGUGAGCCAAUCCCAUAAAGCCGGUCGUAGUCCGGAUCGG